rnacentral:rRNA from 1 species
UACGUAGGGGGCAAGCGUUGUCCGGAAUCAUUGGGCGUAAAGCGCGUGUAGGCGGUCCGGUAAGUCCGCUGUGAAAGUCGGGGGCUCAACCCUCGGAUGCCGGUGGAUACUGUCGGGCUUGAGUACGGAAGAGGCGAGUGGAAUUCCCGGUGUAGCAGUGAAAUGCGCAGAUAUCAGGAGGAACACCAAUUGCGAAGGCAGCUCGCUGGGACGUUACUGACGCUGAGACGCGAAAGCGUGGGGAGCAAACAGG